rnacentral:tRNA from 1 species
GCCGGCGUGACGGAACUGGCAUACGUACGAUACUCAAAAUAUCGCGCUCUCACGGGCAUGUGGGUUCGACUCCCACCGCCGGCA